AGCUGACGUGUAUUUUAACCUUGUGCUUUGAGUUUGGUAAGGAGUCAAGCAAGCAUGCUGGUGCAGAUACUUGUUACGGUUUGACAGAGCAAGGCUGUUCUGGAUAGAAGAUAUGACACACUUCUGAGGAAGACUGUUUUCGAAACUGGCCAAGAUAACCUAGGACGCCUGUUAAGGGAUUUAUACAUCUCACACUUGUGAAGAAUGAAGAUUUUUGCCAUCUCCCGCUUUGAAGUAUUUUUCAUGUUGUGUACUCUAGCUGUGAAGAUUGGACUUUGAACCUUCAUAUUUGCCAGUUGUUCCAUCUUUGCUAUCAUUGUAUAUGCUGGUUUCAUGAAUGGUUUGGGACUUGUCAUAUACCUUGUGUAUUUACAUAUAUGUUUGUGUCAUAUACAUGGACCUUCUAGAGACUGUUUCACAGA